UUACUCUAACAUGAUUUUUAUUCAGUUCAAUGCAUUUAUUGUCAUUGUCAUAGUGAAUAACACACACACUGCAUAGUAACCAUGUAUCAAAAAUGCGUUAGGUGGUGCAAUCCUGACCCAUGAAACGCGUAAACACAAAGGGUGCCACGAACGAUGCACAAAAUUCACAGUCUGGUAUGGAUCGGUACUUGAGCGGCGCCGUUCGAUACAUUUUUUCAAUACCCAAAAGAGGGAAAUGUUCAUGCCUUUUUUUUAACUUGUAGUUUAUUGAAAUUGUCGUUGUCCACGACAGAAAACGGUCGGCAAGGCGAGUUUAUUUACAGAGCACAGUUCGUACUACAGGCAGGCCAGUCUAGUACCCGCACUCUUUUACUACGAAGCCACGCUGUUGUAACACGUGCAGAAUGUGGCUCGGCGAUAUCUUACUGAAAUAAGCAGGGGCGGCCAUGAAAAAGACGUCGCUUGGAUGGCAACUUUUGUUGCUCCAAAACCUGUAUGUACCUUUCAGCAUUAAUGGUGCCUUCACAAACGUGUAAGUUACCCACUAAUACACCCCCAUAUCAUCAAUCUUUAUUGCAGACCUUAAGAUCCAUUUAAACAUAUAAAAACAGAAUAUAAUACAUUAAAAAAACAAAACAAUAAAAACAUACAUUAAAAACAAAACAAGUUUUCCAUACAAUUACAGACGCUGGGUUUUCAACUUUGCGCCUAGAACAAUCCGGAUGGUUCUUUUCCUCUUUGGACCGGAGGACACGACGUCCACAGUUUCCAAAAACAAUUUGAAAUGUGGACUUGUCAGACCACAGAACACUUUUCCAGUUUGCAUCAGUACAUCUUAGAUGAGCUCGGGCCGAGCGAAGCCGGCGGCGUUUCUGGGUGUUGUUGAUAAAUGGCAUUCGCUUUGCAUUGUAGAGUUUUAACUUGCACUUACAGAUGUAGCGACCAACUGUAGUUACUGACAGUGGUUUUCUGAAGUGUUCCUGAGUCCAUGUGGUGAUAUCCUUUACACACUGAUGUCGCUUUUUGAUGCAGUACCAACACAAAUACAACUUUGAAACUACGUGCUUUCUGAGAAGAUUACCGUAGUAACUAGUAUAUCAUGCAAAAGCGCAGAUUCCAACCAAUCAGUCCAUCUUAGAUGAGCUCGGGCCGAGCGAAGCCAGCGGCGUUUCUGGGUGUUGUUGCAUUUAUCAACAACACCCAGAAACGCAGAGUUUUGAGGACGAAAAUGAAUUGAUACCAUUUUAGAAUAAGGCUGUAACAUAGCAAAAUGUGGCAAAAAAUGAAGCGCUGUGAAUACUUUCCGGAUGCAGUGUACAGUAUAAAGGGCAGAUCAAUAGAAGUGAUAAUUAGACGUUGCAGUUCAUGGGUGGGAUGUGAGAGAGGGUCACUGCCUGAGGAUACAGACGAGCUGUUGGCAAGUUGUCCUGGCACGUAUAGACCUGUUCCUUCUACCUGAGGGCCGCAGGUGAGGAGCAGGGUGUUGUUGGUCACGCAGGAUGCUGUGCACUCGCCUCAGACAGCAGGUAGUGUAGACUGUGCCCAUCUCUGGAAGACUUGAUUUUUUUUCAGCUGUUUUAAUCACCGAUUAGAGAGUCUGCUGUCAUGGCACACUUAUAAAAGCUCACUCUUACACUAGGAAGCGGAGUCAUUCAUUGCGCUUUACCUGACACAUGAAACGUGACAAAUACGAUCGCUGAGAUGAAAGGGAUCAGGCCCGUGAACAGGUUCUAUCCGGAUGAAUUUGCUAAGUAUACAAAUGAGCUGAAAUUUUUCUAUGAAAGAAACUGCUGUUUUAAAUGUGUCCACUAGAUGUGGCAAUGGCAAUUCUUUGUAUCUUUGUAGAUGAUGCUACAUACAGUAUGUACAAAAAAAAUAAAACACAUGAUGUUAGUGCAACAGUCGAAGAAAAUUAGCAAACUACAUAAAUAACAUCCUGUAAUUUGAUUUUGAUAUUUUUUUUAAAAUCUUUUUAGAUUGAAAAUGAACACCAAUGAGUUGACUGAUGAACAUUAUCACGUCAUUUAUUCAGAAAGUAUAAAUAACGACAAUUAAAGGUAGAACACUAUUAACUGCAACAUGUAAGUGUAAAAAAAACAACACGAUUUGUUUAUUUUUGAGAAAUUCUAUUUUUAAACAAAGAAAACAAUCUGAAGUUGUCUUUAUUUUUAAGUUAUCGUGCCGUGAUUUUACCAGUCCGGCCCACUUGGGAGUAGAUUUUUCUCAAUGUGGCCCCCGAUCUAAAAUGAGUUUGACACCUCUGGCCUAGAUAAAUUGGUAAACAUCCGUAUUUUCCGGACCAUAGGGCACACCGGAAUAUAAGGAGCACUGCCGAUGAAUGGUCUAUUUUUGAUCUUUUUUUCAUAUAUAAGGCGCACCGGAUUAUAAGGCGCAUUAAAGGAGUCAUAAUAUAUAUAUUUUUUUCUAAAUGUAAAAGACUUCCUUGGGGUCUACAUAACAUGUAAUGGUGGUUCUUUGCUCAAAAUGUUGCAUAGAUGAUGUUUUACACAUCAUCUUCAAGCCGCUUCCGGGUGCGCCGUUUUGUGGGCGGUCUUAUUUACGUGGCUCACCUUCGGCAGCGUCUUCUCCCCGUCAUCUUUGUUGUGAAGUGUCAAAAGAUGGAGCUAACUGUUUUAAUGACAUUCAGACUUUACUUCAAUCAAUAACGGAGCAGCAUCUCCUCAUCCAGAAACAACAACACCAGAAAUGUGUCCCGUGAAAAACCGUCCGACCAGAACUCUAAUAACUAAAGUUCCUUGGGUGAAUAAUGGUAACUCACUACACCGGUAUGUUUUAGGGCUUUCAUGGCGAGUUUACUGACUGAAAUAAGUAAUAACUUUACACUGCUUUUUAUUAGAAAUGGCAACAGCAGAGGAUGGAUGUCCCAUAACAAGAAGGUGGAGAAAAAGAAGAAGCUUAUCGACUACGGUGUCGGCACGGACUACAAAGGCGGACCUGCACAAAUUUUCAGGUACCAGAAGAAGGUGUACGGCCCGAUGUAGAUGGAGAGUCUGAGGGCGGAGCUGCUCUGGUAGCUGCCCUGGUAGCUGAGCAGCGGGUUGACGGACACCAUCUCCAGGUCCAGCGUGUACUCCCUGGGUCCUGAGACGGCCCGGGCCAGGACCAGCAUGGCGCUGAUGUUGUUGAUUUGCUGCAAACGGGGAAAGUCGCCGUUGUCGUCGCCCGAGCGGAUCCUGAAGGUGUUGUACGCUCCCGGGGACACGCUGGUGGCCUGGAUCUGGAAGAUGUCCGAGGGCACGGAGCGCUCCGAGGUGAUGCUCAUGUAGCGGUGGACGAUGGAGAAAGAUCCAUUAAGGUCGAGGAAAAAAACCGACACACCACUUCUUGUCACUGGGGAACCCAAAGAUGCACUUUCUUAAAGUGACACACACACAUGGAGGAACUAGAUGGAUGGAUGGAACAAUGCAUGGGCGAACGGGACGAGCCAGCAAACAAAUGGACAGGAAGAGCCACAAAUAAAGGAAGGGACAGAUGGAUGAGCAGAUGACAAGACAGACAAGUGGACGGGUGCAAAGAUGGACACGCUGACAGACACACAGUGGGACUGAUAGAAGUAAAAACGAUGGGAUGGACCCCCGACUUGAUAUAAGUCGCUACACCAGACCUGGGCAAAUUAAGGCCCGGGGGUGUAUAUUGUAGCGUCCUGGAAGAGUUAGUGCUGCAAGGGGUUCUGGGUAUUUGUUCUGCUGUGUUUAUGUUGUGUUACGGUGCGGAUGUUCUCCCGAAAUGUGUUUGUCAUUCUUGUUUGGUGUGGCGCAUAUUUGUAACAGUGUUAAAGUUGUUUAUACGGCUACCCUCAGUGUAACCUGUAUGGCUGUUGACCAAGUAUGCCUUGCAUUCACUUGUGUGUGUGAAAAGCCGUGGAUAUUAUGUGACUGGGCCGGCACGCAAAGGCAGUGCCUUUAAGGCUUAUUGGCGCUCUGUACUUCUCCCUACGUCCGUGUACACAGCGGCGUUUUAAAAAGGCAUACAUUUUACUUUUUGAAACCGAUACCGAUAAUUUCCGAUAUUACAUUUUGAAGCGUUUAUUGGCCGAUAAUAUCGGCAGUCCGAUAUUAUCGGACAUCUCUAGUUAAUAUUCAGUGUUUUAUCCUUCAUAGUUAAUAUUCAGUGUUUUAUCCUUCAUAGUUAAUAUUCAGUGUUUUAUCCUUCAGUUAAUAUUCAGUGUUUUAUCCUUAAUAGUUAAUAUUCAGUGUUUUAUCCUUCAUAGUUAAUAUUCAGUGUUUUAUCCUUCAGUUAAUAUUCAGUGUUUUAUCCUUAAUAGUUAAUAUUCAGUGUUUUAUCCUUCAUAGUUAAUAUUCAGUGUUUUAU